UACGAGAGGUCCAAACGUUAUUCGGAAUCACUGGGCUUACAGAGUUCGUAGGCGGUCCAGAAAGUGGGGUGUGAAAGCCCUCGGCUUAACCGAGGAACUGCGCUCCAAACUACUGGGCUAGAGGAAGAUAGAGGUGAGCAGAACUGAUGGUGGAGCGGUGAAAUGCGUUGAUAUCAUCAGGAAUACCGGAGGCGAAGGCGGCUCACUGGGUCUUUUCUGACGCUGAGGAACGGAAAGCUAGGGGAGCAAACGGG
rnacentral:rRNA from 1 species